CUUCUUGGAGGACCCAGACUAACACAAGUGGACCAGGAGUGAGAUCUGAGAAAACAGGUUAAUAGGAGAUUAGGAGCUGGUUCAUCUCCCUCCCAAAGGAUGAAGAGGAUGACAUCCUGGCUGGCCUAUAACUAGGGUUAAAUCCUAGCAAAUCCUGGCUGCAGAUGUGCUGGGCCUGGUAAGGGAGAAGAAAGACCACACAUCAAAAAAGGAAUUUACCUAGAACGCAGCACAGAACGAUAAUGAGAUGGAAAGUAAGAGGGAUGAAGAGACCUGGGGGAUAGAAUGAGAAGGUCCAAUGAGCAUCCAACAGGAAUUCCAGGACUGAAUAAAGAGAACAGCAAAGAGGCAAGUAGUAUUGGAAAAAGGGGGCUGAGACUUUUCACAGUUGAUAAAGAUGAAUCCUAAGAUUCUAGAAGCACAAGUCCCAAGUGAAUACAAAUGAAUUUAUAGCCCCACACAAAGUGGUAAAAUUGCAGAAUACCAAAAAGCAGAGUGAGAAAUCUUUAAAGCCUCUAAGGGAAUUUAUUCCCAAAAUAGGGAGAGGCUGGGCAAGAGACCCAUAGUGGGAGAUGAGAGAUGUGUAGCGGGCCAUGAACACAGCAGUGUGGCUUUGAGAGGGGCACUGGGUGACUGGAUGGGCUGUGUUUUGGGGAGGGACUGCUAGCUGGACUGUAUUCAACCCUAGCUUCUCAUUAGUGGGACUCAGCUCCUCCCCGUUCCUGGCAAGAGCCUAGGCAUGUGCUCUCUCUUAACUCAAGUAAGUACAGGAUGAGCACUGCUCUCAGAACCUUAAUAAAUAUUUGGUGCAUGAAUGAAUGCAGGAGAAGCAUUUUGAGAAUAGUGAGGCCAAGCUGGUGGCUAUACUUGGAUUGCUGAACUGAUGUAUGUAUUUAUGAAAGGCCUUGUGGUGAUGUUUUUAUGAAAGGCUAUUCAUGGUGUCUAUAGUUGUGCAUAUAAUAUAAAUUUGAUUUUAGUUUCUGCUAAGAAUCUAAAGCAGUGUAAGAUAAACACAGAAAAAUCUCUAGCAUCCUUUCCAGAGGUUUUCUAGGCUGAUUAUAAAUAUUGGUGCAAGUGUAAAUCAUAGUAGUAGAACCCAGAGCACAGUUUCAGCAGCCUCUGUGGACUGCAUAGUCUUGUCUGUCAGAGCAGAUGUGUUUCCACCACAAUUGUAAAAAGUGACAGAAUGCAAUCUUUGCCUCCCAAUAGGAUUUGAUAACAGAAAAACAGACAAUUGCCUUAUCUUAUGUGCUAACGUUGCAGAACAGUGGAAAAGAAAAACAGUAUUUUCCUGCUCUUAUCCUCUAGUUUAGCUUGGCUGUGUUGCAUGUAUCAGACAGACUUUUCCACUGCCCAUGCUAGGCUACACAGUAGGCCAUUCUGAGGAAGCGGUGUUCCAAAACAAAGUCCUGUUCUCCCACUUUCUGUCAUGAUUAGAUCAUGUAUACAGGGAAGAAAUGUGAUAGAUGGACACAGCCCCACUAUAAAGAAGUCUGUUUUUAUGGACUAAUAUUUUAAUGUUAAAAAUAUAUACAGCCCAAAUGUUGUCACAAUUAAUUCUUAUCUGUUAGCCUUGGAGGAAGGCACAUUCACAUCCUUGUUACACAUGAGGAAACUGAGGCUUAGGGUUAUGUAGUGACCAACUGAAUAUACAAAUGGAUCAUGGCCAUACCAUAAGGAAAAACGGAACUGUGGCUGGCAGUGCACAGCAGUAAGCACGGGAAACCAACUCAUCAUCCAUCGUCACCAGCCCAGAACCCGGCAGCCUGCUGUAAGUCAGACUUGUAGGAAGUCUACAAGUUGUAGACUGGAUUGUUACUUUUUGUAACAAUCCAGGAAGCAUGAAACAAUCGACCCCAAAUCGCUAAGAUUUUAUUAAUAACUGACAGCUUCCAUAA